rnacentral:misc_RNA from 1 species
UGGUUCUGGCAUCGAUGAAGAACGCAGCGAAAUGCGAUAAGUAAUGUGAAUUGCGGAAUUCAGUGAAUCAUCGAAUCUUUGAACGCACAUUGCGCCCAUUAGUAUUCUAGUGGGCAUGCCUGUUCGAGCGUCAUUUCAACCCUUAAGCCCUUGUUGCUUAGCGUUAGGAGCCUACAAUAUUUAUUGUAGCUCCCUAAAGUUAGUGGCGGAGUCGGUUCACACUCUAGACGUAGUACUUUUUACCUCGCCUGUAGUGAGACCAGUUUCUUGCCGUAAAACACCCAAAUUUUUUUUUUUUAAAAAGUUGACCUCGGAUCAGGUAGGAAUACCCGCUGA